CCAACAGGGAUUGCCUUAGUAACGGCGAGUGAAGCGGCAACAGCUCAAAUUUGAAAGCUGGCUCCUUUGGAGUCCGCGUUGUAAUUUGUAGAGGAUGAUUCGGCAAGGGCUCCCGCCUAAGUCUCCUGGAACGGAGCGUCAUAGAGGGUGAGAAUCCCGUAUGCGGUGGGCUGCCUAAGCCAUGUGAAUCUCCUUCGACGAGUCGAGUUGUUUGGGAAUGCAGCUCUAAAUGGGAGGUAAAUUUCUUCUAAAGCUAAAUACCGGCCAGAGACCGAUAGCGCACAAGUAGAGUGAUCGAAAGAUGAAAAGCACUUUGGAAAGAGAGUUAAAAAGUACGUGAAAUUGUUGAAAGGGAAGCGCUUGCAGCCAGACUUGUCCGCAGUUGCUCAGCCGGUCUCCUGACCGGUGUACUCUUCUGCGGCCAGGCCAGCAUCAGUUCGGGCGGUCGGAUAAAGACCUCGGGAAUGUAGCUCCUCUCGGGGAGUGUUAUAGCCCGGGGUGGAAUGCGGCCAGCCUGGACUGAGGAUCUCGCUUCGGCUAGGAUGCUGGCGUAAUGGCUGUAAGCGGCCCGUCUUGAAACACGGACCAAGGAGUCUAACAUCUAUGCGAGUGUUUGGGUGUCAAACCCAUGCGCGUAAUGAAAGUGAACGGAGGUGGGAACCCUCACGGGUGCACCAUCGACCGAUCCUGAUGUCUUCGGAUGGAUUUGAGUAAGAGCAUAGCUGUUGGGACCCGAAAGAUGGUGAACUAUGCCUGAAUAGGGUGAAGCCAGAGGAAACUCUGGUGGAGGCUCGCAGCGGUUCUGACGUGCAAAUCGAUCGUCAAAUUUGGGUAUAGGGGCGAAAGACUAAUCGAACCAUCUAGUAGCU
rnacentral:rRNA from 1 species